rnacentral:tRNA from 2 species
GGGGAAUUAGCUCAGCUGAUAGAGCACCUGAUUUGCAUUCAGGGGGUCAGGGGUUUGAGUCCCCUAUUCUCCACCA